rnacentral:rRNA from 1 species
GACGAACGCUGGCGGCGUGCUUAACACAUGCAAGUCGAGCGGUAAGGCCCUUUCGGGGGUACACGAGCGGCGAACGGGUGAGUAACACGUGGGUGACCUGCCCUCAGCUCUGGGAUAAGCCUGGGAAACCGGGUCUAAUACUGGAUAUGACUCCAUGACGCAUGUUGUGGGGCGGAAAGCCUUGUGCGGCUGAGGAUGGGCCCGCGGCCUAUCAGCUUGUUGGUGGGGUGANGGCCUACCAAGGCGACGACGGGUAGCCGGCCUGAGAGGGCGACCGGCCACACUGGGACUGAGACACGGCCCAGACUCCUACGGGAGGCAGCAGUGGGGAAUCUUGCGCAAUGGGCGAAAGCCUGACGCAGCGACGCCGCGUGAGGGAUGACGGCCUCGG